rnacentral:rRNA from 1 species
GAUGAACGCUGGCGGCGUGCCUAAUACAUGCAAGCCGAGCGAACGGACGAGAAGCUUGCUUCUCUGAUGUUAGCGGCGGACGGGUGAGUAACACGUGGAUAACCUACCUAUAAGACUGGGAUAACUUCGGGAAACCGUAGCUAAUACCGGAUAAUAUUUUGAACCGCAUGGUUCAAAAGUGAAAGACGGUCUUGCUGUCACUUAUAGAUGGAUCCGCGCUGCAUUAUCUAGUUGGUAAGGUAACGGCUUACCAAGGCAACGAUGCAUAGCCGACCUGAGAGGGUGAUCGGCCACACUGGAACUGAGACACGGUCCAGACUCCUACGGGAGGCAGCAGUAGGGAAUCUUCCGCAAUGGGCGAAAGCCUGACGGAGCAACGCCGCGUGAGUGAUGAAGGUCUUCGGAUCGUAAAACUCUGUUAUUAGGGAAGAACAUAUGUGUAAGUAACUGUGCACAUCUUGACGGUACCUAAUCAGAAAGCCACGGCUAACUACGUG